rnacentral:rRNA from 1 species
UACUAGAGUAGCACUCGCAUAUCAAUAAGCGGAGGAAAAGAAACUAACAAGGAUUCCCCUAGUAACGGCGAGUGAAGCGGGAAGAGCUCAAAUUUGAAAUCUUAAAGGGUUUCCCUUUACGAAUUGUAGUUUAAAGAAGUGUUUUCUGUUGAGGUUUUGGUAAAAGUUCUUUGGAAUAGGACAUCAUAGAGGGUGAGAAUCCCGUAUUUGACCUUUACUUUCAACUUUGUGAUACACUUUCAAAGAGUCGGAUUGUUUGGGAAUGCAGUCCAAAAUGGGUGGUAGAUAUUCAUCUAAAGCUAAAUAUUGGCGAGAGACCGAUAGCGAACAAGUACCGUGAGGGAAAGAUGAAAAGAACUUUGAAAAGAGAGUUAAACAGUACGUGAAAUUGUCAAAAGGGAAGCGUUUGACACCAGUGUUGUUUUUCUGAAAAUCAAUUAAAGAACUGUUUAUGCUAAGUUGUUUAGACUUUAUCAGCUAACUGUUUAGUUUUGAGCUUUUCUUUAAUGCACUUUUCAGUUAACAAGUCAACAUCAAUUUCUUUUGCUGUAAAAAAGCUUGAGGAAGGUGGCUUGAGAUUCGUCUUAAGUGUUUAUAGCCUCUUGCCUAUGCAGUCGGAGAGAUUGAGGUCUGCAGCGUAGAUCCUUCGGGGCUAAAUGCAUUUGUGCUAAGUUAUAGCAUUUUAUAGACAACUUGUUGACUAUGAUUUGUCUUGUAGCUUACUCGCUUAUGUUAUUUUACCUACGCUUAGGAUGUUGAUCUCUCACAGUCGAGC